rnacentral:lncRNA from 1 species
CUCUUGCAGUUCGUCUUGGAGAGGGAAACCUGAAGCCUGGCUCUGCAUAAAUAGAGGGUUGCAUGUCCGUGAUGCUGCAACUACGAAUUGGGUUCAAUUCCCUAUUACAGCACUUGAGCGAUUAGUCAGUGUGCAGGAACGAAAAGUUGGUGCGACUCUUCUUCUGGUACAAGUGGAGGUAGGAACUUUGACAGCGUGAUUUCACCGUUGGGAUUUGAUGGACAAAGUUGUUGGAAAUACUCCAAGAGAACAUCAAGGGUGAGGUUUCCUCUCCAGACACCAAUUUUGAUGAUUUGUGGUUUGUCUCGCUUGGUCAAUUCCUUGUGUGGCUUGUUUGCAAGUGGUGCAAGGCCAUUUGUUGUGUUGCGGUGGAAAGGAAGGUAGGAGGUAGAGGACUUUUGGUGGCGACCGUUGUUGCUUCUACAAAACAACACUUGUGGAAGCAAAUGGGCAUUGGCCUUGUAUGAUGACACUAUUUUCUGCUGCAAAGCACUUGUUGGUACUCAACAAGGCUUAAAAAAAUCCCACCGGAUUGGUCAUACACCCGUUGAUACACAUGUAUCGUAAACAGUAUUGCGACUGCUCUGAGGACCUCCAUAGCUCCAUGGUGACAUAGGUAAAAGAGGUGCUGCACAGUAAAAGAAAGUAGCAUGGGUGGAUCAAAGAGGCCCCAACCUUUGUGUUGUUUGCUUGUUGGCUCCUUGCUUCGAUCAAAAUUGCUGAACUCUUCCUUUCUCCUCUGUAGUAAGGCUUUGCCUCUUUCUUGAUGUAUUUCAUGUGUCACUUUUGUUGUAGAGAGUGUGCCUUUUUAUAGGCAAAAAUGGAUCACCGUGUGAGCUGAAGAUGACAAUAUCUCUCAUUCAAAUUCAAAUUUAAAUAUAUGAUC